rnacentral:rRNA from 1 species
GUAGGGAAUAUUGCACAAUGGGCGAAAGCCUGAUGCAGCAACGCCGCGUGAGUGAAGAAGGCCCUUGGGUCGUAAAGCUCUUUAGCCUGGAAAGAAGUGCCCAUGAGUGAACAAUUCAUGGGUGUGACGGUACCAGGAGAAUAAGGUCCGGCUAAUUUCGUGCCAGCAGCCGCGGUAAUACGAAAGGACCAAGCGUUACUCGGAAUCACUGGGCGUAAAGCGCGCGUAUGCGGCCUUGUAUGUCGAUUGUGAAAGCCCCGGGCUCAACCUGGGAACUGCAGUCGAAACUGCAAGGCUUGAAUGUUGGAGAGGUUGGGGGAAUACCUAGUGGAGAAGUGAAAUUCGUAGAGAUUAGGUGGAACACCAGAGGCGAAGGCGCCUGACUGGCCAAACAUUGACGCUGAGGCGCGAAAGCGUGGGUAGCAAACAGGAUUAGAUACCCGGGUAGUCC